GAAGGGAAAAGGGGAGGAGGGAAAAAAAGAAAACACCAGCCAGUUUAGAGACAUGGAAACCUCAGCUACACUUCUUCAGGACUUCAGGUGUCCUGUUACAGCUUCCUUAAAGGGCCAGCGUGCUGGAAAGUCAACCAAAAAUAGUUGUUCUGGGUUGGUUUGUUUUUUAAACAGGUCACCACUUGUGUAAAGGAUAAACUCAAUACAUUUAAGUCGUCCCCUUUUAUCAACCUCAUCCUCACUGGAGGCAGCACGAUGCCAAGAUCCCCAGGUUUCUAGCACAUUUGACAUGCAAAACAACUCUCUUGCUAGUGAGGGGAACAGGCGUGUAUUUUUUUGAGCUUUGCUAAGAUGUGGGAAAAGUCCUACUGCAUUGAGGGGGAGUGAUGACCACGCCACUACGCACACGACUUUUCUAGGCAAGGACCACAGAAAGGCUCUUUUCUUCCCCGAAGCGAAGCAGGUUGGUUCUUAGCAAAUUCCUGGAACCUCACCAGCCUCAUCAGUGUUACCAAUUUCCAGUAAAGGACUGCUCAGUGCCAGACCUCACAGCACUGAUAACGCCAGCCAAGCCUGCGGCCAGACCUCACGCAGGGCAGAGGUACCGCGGGUCCCACCGCAUGGGAGAACUGACCCCGUGCUUCUGGGCUCAGCCUGGAACUGAGGCUGCUGGUGGCCAGAGCGAGGACCGCAUUUCUGAGGUGGGGAGGAGAGGUCCUCUAUCCAGCAGACAGGGAGAAGGAGCAAGGCUUUGGCCUCCACUGUAACUCCACGUGACCCCUCUGCCCAGCUCCACCACAUGGCGGCUCAACCACAGCAGGAGCCUGGCAUUCCAACGUGAGCACCCUGCAGCCAGGGCUCCGCACCCUGCGUGGCACUGACCACUCGGGUUGGUGGCACUUGCUGAUGUUGCCAGCCAUGGAUGCAAUGCAGCAUCUGCUCUGUGCAGCCCCUGGAUGGUGCAGUGCCUCCCAUCCGCAGCGGCUGCUCUCCCAUAGCCUCCGAGGUCUUGAUUGAAAUUUUGCUUUUGCAAAGUGUUCCUUCCACUUGGAAAAGCUGCAAAAUUCGGGUAGAAUAGAAGCCCUAGAGUGGAGACAGAGAAAGCUGCGGCUGCGACGGAGCACAGGGCAGCAGUGCAGCCCCUGCAGGCACUGUUACAUGUUAGCAUUGCCACCAGCUCACCUCAGCACCCUGACAACGUGCCCCAAAUGCCAGCCAGUACCUACAACCUCAGAGCUGCUGCCUUGUUUGCUAACAGAUCGCUACCAUUGGGAUGGCAUUACCCUGUAUCAGACUUUUUCAGCACUGGUUCACUUAUCACAAAUGUACACGUGGGUGCCAUUUCUGGAAGGAGUUCCCUUCCACGAAUGUGAAGAACCAGAUCUGAAUGGUGGUUUGUGUAAUUCGUUUCUUAGCUGGGGUGUUUGCUUUUAGUGGCUUUCACUGAUGCAAGUUUAAUUUGGGGAAAACCUCAAACUACAAAGUGCACAGCUGUGAUGCAGCACGCUGCAAGUAAGGUCACAGAGCAAACUCCCCUAUUUAUACAUCCACUGGCUCUUUAGCGUGGCUAAAAUAGCCUUAAUCUUUCAUCUGAAAAUCAGUCCAAAUUUUUUUUUUUCCCCUUUUUCUGCAUAUUUUCUUUUUUUCAGUGCACCACUACCUGCUGUCCCCUCCCUAGAGCACCACUGGGGUCAUCCCACCCCACUCCCACCUGCACCCGUCCCCCCGCACGGUGGGGAUCGUGCCAUGGGCUGCUGAGCAGUGCUGGGAAGCCCAGAGCUGCCAGGAGGCAGCACGGUGUGUCAGCCGGACACAGCAGCGGGCUGGGGAUGUGCCUGUUCCCUUGGAAGGCUGCUGGGCUGCAAGGCUCACAGCUUAGGAAUCAGGAGACGUGUUUUAACUUGGGAUCUGCACCUCACCCAAACGCGUACGAUGUCUAAUGGCUUAAACGCAAUCACCCUUCUCCGGGAACGUUCUCCUGCUGUCUGCAUCUCUCACAAGGUUCUUGGAGUCUGUGACUAACUGGAGGAAUGCUGAACAAGAUCUGACUUGCUUUUACAAAUACAGCCAUUUUGUCCCCUAGAAUAUGUGCAUAAACCCCUCUAUUUCUUCUCGCUGCUCUACGAAUAGCCCUGCUAAACAACUCCAAUCCAGGCUUUCCACAACCCCAGACUUUACCUGGAGAAAAAAAACUAUGAGAAACUUUAGCAAAAUGGCAUUAGAGGUGCAGGUGGGAAGCCACCACCACGCCACCGCAGCCAGCUUCCAGCAGGGACCAUGGGGACCGGGUGGCCUUGAUGACGGUGACACCGGCUGGAAGCUGGGUGGGAGAUGUAAAGCAUCGCAGGGGAGGAGGUCCCCAAGGAGAAAAGGACUGUUCUCAUUUAGGGCAGCACAGGCAACCCACAGCUCAAACAAUCCAUGAAUGUCAAGAUUGAGCAGGUUUGUUCUCUUGCGAUGACUGGGACAACGGAAAGGCUUCAGGGAACAUUCUGCACACACCCUGUACCCAGCCAUGGGUGUUUUCUUAGGAAUAAAUGGGAAGCGAGCGUUCCUCACUCGACAAGCAAACAAGCCGAGUUUCAGAACUGCCGUAGCACACGUAAGGGCACAGUCAGACAAAAGCAGGUUGGGUUUGCACUGUCAGGCAGAUCAGGAGCGGGUGCCGUCCCAGUUACUCAUAUCCUGUCGAAAUGGGAAAUAAACAGGAAGCAUUUUGCCUCCUGGCGAAAUCUGCUGCUCUGGAGCACUAGCUCUGGAGGUGCAGUGCAGAGAGGGGUGAAGUGUCCCCUGGAUGUGACUGGAAAAGAAACACAAAACGCAGUCCCGGCGUGAUGUGGUGAGAUUACACCGGUUAGAGCUGGGGCUGCGUGUGGCUGAGGUGCGUGGCAAUGGAGCUUAGUGGAAGGGUGAAUCAAGGCUGAUGAAAUGAGCAGAGCAUCACAACCACCCUACUGAGGAGAGCCCUCCCUCGACAAACCAGAAACCUCGCAGCAGACCCAUGGGAUGGCCACCAGAGCAUCACCUGCACUGCCUGACCCCAGGGCACAGCGGCACCCCAGCCAUGAACAGCACUCAGCUCAGCUGCAGUGGUUUUUGUUAAAGUAUGUGGCAUAAAAGAAUGCUUUCUCUUAGAAAAUGUAUCACCUGAAACAAAUGAAUCAGACUCAUUCAAGUCAGCCAAUGCUCAUGGUAUCCAAAGGUGGGAAAGCCAGCCUUUGCAAAUUAGAGGAAAUUUUCCUUCAGACCUUUUUCGCCCCAAUUAAUACUGCAUGUUUCUCUGCAUGCUUUAUGAAUUAUGCUGCUCAUAGCACAGCUUGGUUACAGAGCAACAGGCAAAGCCCCCAGUUAUUCAAGUUUGUAAACCUGUUGGAAGCAAUACUCAGAGCCAAGUGCUGUGGGUGCAAUGACUAACUUGGUUUUUAAGAUUGAGUAGAUUUUGGAAGUAUUCCCUUAACAGACAAAUCCAAGCAAGAGUGUUUGUAUGUUUGUCAACAAAUACAGCACAGCGCUUGUGUAUGUGUGUGUGCAAAUACAUACAUGUGUGUUUAUACACACACAUCAAUUAACACAUGAUUGCAGAAAGGACAUCUCAAGUAACAGCACUACAGUGCAGAGCAACACAGUACAAAUGUGGUUUUCACUACUUGCAUAAGACCAAAAUUUCUGGUUGGGAAGCACACCAGUGCACCCUUCUAUCUAUAACUAAGUCUGCAUCUAAAUUUUUUGAAUGCCAGAGAGCUGACACAAAAACCUUUUGACUAAGAAAGCAAGCUCACUGCUUGAGGACAGGGCUGAAGCUACAUCACCUGCAAGCACAGGUGCCAUUGCGUCUGCCACACCCUGCCAGCCGCUUUAAACCAGGAAAGGCAAAGCUGUUUUGGAGAUGUGGGUGUUUCUUAGGGGCUGCAGUCCCUGUAUCUGAGAAGAAAGCAGGAGCAGACAAAACAUGAGAGAAGCAUAGACCAAGCUGGUGAAGCUGCAACAAUCCUAGGUAGGCACAGUUCAUUUUUCUUGAGCUGCCAGGUACCUCAGAUGCAGAGGAGCACUGGGUCCAGUGCAUCCCAGGCAGCAGCGUGAAGGCUUGGAAACAGCCAAGGCACAAACUGAGCUCCUGCUGCAGUGGCAGGGAGCGGUCACAGAAGCAAGAACCAACAAGCAACAAGUCUUCUUGGGAUUUACAGAUAAGUGGGAACCGUCCCGCCAGAGGAGUCAUGGGGUCGGGAGGAGAUGGAGCCAACCAGGGAGAUGCGGUGCCGGAGCAUGAGGCGCGGGGCUGGGGCUGCAGUGCCAGGGAUGCUGCACUGGCCACCUGUGUGCGGUAUUUGAGCUCCACCAUUGUCACAGCACAGAAGCCUUACUGCUGCAUGUUUAAGGAAACAGGAAGAAGAUGCAAGUGCCCAACACAAAGCCAGCUUCCUAAAGUUACUGGUGCACUUUAUCAAGACUGUGACAGCUACCCUCUUGCUUCCCAGCCCCAGAACUGUGACUGUCACAGUUGCUGCUGUUGAGAAUGACCUAGAGGAUGAGCAGACAGCUGCUCCAGCUAGACAUGGGGAAUAUUUCAUCGACACUGCUCAAACCUGGCCACACAGCUGCUGAAACUACAUCUGACAGAAAUAUGGCCAGGGUUGGCAGAAGCAAGACUGAUAAUCUCAGCCUACUGAUGUGUGCUGUUUUGCCAUGCUCUUAAGAAGCAAGCCCUUCCCAAACAGGAGGAGAGUCCAGCAAAAUGUAUUAAUAUGUAGCCACUAUUUUAUCAACUGCUGUACCAUCUGACUGCAAAAUUGCAGUACAGUCAUUUUAUUACAGGUUAUCGGACACUGAACCAAAUGAUGGCAGCCCUGCAUUUUCAGUGUUUCUGUUUGAGAUAUGAAUAAGUUCCUGUUUCCUACCCUAGAGCCACCCAACCACCAUGAGAAAAACAAGUUUGUAUCUGAUGUACCUCUCAUUUUUGCAGUCUGAGCAC